rnacentral:piRNA from 1 species
AUCGCUGUGAGUUGGAGACCAGCCUGGUC